ensembl:lncRNA novel transcript
AGAAUUUUCUCUUCUAGGUUCAGAAGAGCCACAUUUUGCCGUUCCGACUCUAAAGCAACUACAUUUCUCUACAGAGCACAGAACUGUAUGUAAAUUCAUCCAUUGUAAAUCUAAUCUGCAAACAUGUAUUAGAUCAGUAUUUGGAGACAGAGAAGCCAACUGGUUCUUAACAUUACAUUGUAUAGCUUCUAUUAACAUGUAUCUCAGGGACUCAUUUGGGUGAUAUUUGCAUUGCCUAGGCUGUGGACAAACCACCAGGUAGCCUGAAAAGGACUUACUCUAGGGAAGAAACAGUGUGAAAAAUAGUGUGGGGGUAUACUUGUUGAAGUGUGAGUGAGGGAGGAUAGUGGAGGAAAGGAGAAAGGAGGCAUUGGUAGACUCAUUUAAGACAAAAAAUGGGCAUUUCGGUUUCUUAAAAGCCACUUUUUUUUCAAUUUAAAACUGUUUUGGGACUAAAGCCUCAGCCAUAUAAAUUAUUCUUACCAGGAAAAAAAUUCUCUGAAGGAAAAAAAAAGCUAAACAUGUAUCUUGGCAAGGGGUUUCAUAUUUGAAUUUAAAUUUAAAGAUAAAUUUGUUUUUAAGAAAGCAUAAAAAAGCAAUUUCAGAAAAAAAUCAGAAAAGCUUAGUUUUCUUUUUAUUAAAAAAGAAACACAGAGAAAUAAAUUGAUUUAGUUUCUUGUUAUGUUCCCUUGGAUAUGACAUAAAUUGAAAAUUGUAAUUAGAAAA